CUGAGAUGGAGGAAGACGCCCAAGCAAGGCAAGCAGAGUUUGGAAAUGUCAAAACCGUGGUCGGUCAUAGAGUUUACAGCGCGCCUCACCCAACCAAUCAGUUGGUUUGAGUCCACUCUGCCUCUGUCGGAGUUGGUUGGAGAGUGAGAUCAGCACGAUACUGUGCGUAAAAUCUACCCGUCAGACCAGCAGUGCCAUGGAAGGCAGAGCUCAGGUGGCAAAGUCCAUUCGUAUACACACUAAAUAACUUUUCUAACGGAUACUAUAUGCUGUGCAUAUGUUUUUUGCAAAAACCGAUGAUGUGAAGUAGAAAGGUCCGUCUCCAUCGACUCAGUUGCGCCGAGGAACAAUGCUGAAAACAGCAGCAGGAUUUUCUGACACAGCUUCCAAACUGCCAAAUCUCUGUUGGACUCCAUCCUUUGAUCCACAAGACAUCUGAAUCUGGCAUCAACAUGGAGAGUCUCAGUGAGCUCCAGAACCCCCUGCUAGACAAAACCAGCAGACAUGUUGUCCACAGUGACUACCAGGGUUACCAGUGUGACUGCUCGAGCCAGCCUUACCAAAACAACCUCACUGGCUAUUGCUACAAUGGGACUAAUGGCAAGCAUAAGACUCAGCAGUUCCUGGAUGCAACAUCCCUGCAUCUAGCUGUGGAGGCCUUCUACAGGCCCAACAUCAUACUGUACAAGGACAACGUCAGCCUUCACAGCAAAGACUCCAAGAGCGAGAGCUUUGAGACUACAUUCACAGAGAGUAAGGACGCUGUUUCAGAUGGAGUGUCUAUAGAAAACACACCAGACAACAUACAAGGACAGAAGGAUGUGAAGAUCCACACAGUGUCGUACGAGGUGGAGGAUGAGCAGGGUCCUGAGUAUGAGAGUGACAGCUCCAGUGACAGUGAGAGUGAGGACAACUUCCUCGUGCUGCCCCCUCGAGACUACCUAGGCCUUGCCAUCUUCUCCAUGCUCUGCUGCUUCUGGCCCUUGGGCAUUGUCGCCUUUUACUACUCCCACAAGACUGGCAAGGCCAUCGCUAAGGGAGACUUCUCAAGAGCAGGAAUAAGCUCCAGAAGAGCCCUAUUCCUGGCUGCUCUUUCCAUUACCAUUGGAACGGGGAUGUAUGUGGGGGUGGUUGUGGCCCUCAUAGCGUACCUGUCCAAGCCUGGACACGUAUAGCACUGGUUCGCUGGGGAUGGGGGAGACAAAGAGAACAAGGAGGCAAGAUGGGAGGAGAGGAAAACACAAGGCUGGACAGAUCUCUUGGCCUCUCCUGAAGACAGGGUGUCUGUGCUGCUGCCUGACUGUCUGCGCUAAGAAGAUGCUAUAUAAAGAGAGAAGGCUAACCCAGAGAAAGAGAGAGAUAAAACAAAACAAGAUGUGUGGAUGGACUAUCACUUGGACUGCAUAUUGAUCUGGACUAAAUCUGUCUUUUUAGGAUGCAACACUCCUGCCAAGCUUCUCUCCAAGUAAAUCUCGAAUGCAUGAAAUGUGGCUCGAUGGGGGAGACAGGGGCGAAAGUGACGCUCUCAUCAAUGGGAGCUGGAUGGGGUGUUGAAGUGGGCUCACUCUAUGAGCAAGUGCAGCGGUGCAUGUAUAUUCUCUCCCUCAAUAGAUAGGAAGCUUCACCCACGCCUGCUCGCUCACUCCCUCACGUCAUCUAUAGCUAGCUCAGACCACCAGAAGCAAACUGAUUUUAUUAGUCAUCCACCCCACAAGAAUUACAAACUUCCCAAGAGGCAACAGCAGCUUGAAUCUGAACUUCUGCACUUUGUUUUAUGUGAAAACUUUUCUAGAUAAAAAACAAUGACAAAAGGGUUGAAAAAAUGGAUAAGAAACUGAAAAGGAAUGUAAAGACAAAAAACAUUCAAACUGAGUGCUACAUUAAUAAGGUCCAUGAUGCUCUUGACUGCUCAUGCAGCUGAAAGGCAUUUUCAGAUUUUCAUCAUUGCUUCGAUCAAAUAUCUGUCACCACUCUCUCUACUGGUGGAAGACAGACAUAUCUUCAGUUUGCAUCAUGCCUCUGCAAAAGAGGAUUUAGUGGUUGCAACAAUUAUGGUAAGAAAGCUAUGGAUGUACAGGCUAUAUUCUCUCAUCUUACUGACAUUUUGAAGAAAAGAAAUCCUAGAAAACUAUCAAGUGUAAUGCCAGAAAAUUAGAUUCAACAGACAAAUUUUCAGCUUACCACUUCUUAAAACCAAAAUGGCAGGAGGAUGAGGAGUGUGGAAACUGUGCACUUGGGGAAAUAGUGGUUAUCUUGUACCAGCAGAACAACCUCUCUGGCUCUGUAUUAUGCGACACAUCUUAAAUCAAAACCACUAACUUCAUUUGGUAGAUUACAGACACUUGCAUGCUGUUUUAAAUAAAUACAUCCAGAGAUCAUUUUCUGUGCAGGCGGAUAAAUUUGAAUAUUCCAGGGACACUUUCUACAGUAGGUUAACGGCGGUACCAGUGAUGUUGAUAAUCACUUUUAUUGGCCAAGUAUGUUACACACAGAAGGAGUUCUUCUCUGGUAAGAACCAAGGCAGCCAUCUGUGGCUACAUGCAAACACACCAAUGGUGGCACUGUCCUGGCUAUUGGGAAGAACUUAGGGCCUUUCACAAGGACACAGUUAGGGGACAACCACUCUACCUUUUGAGCCACAGAUGUCCCAAAGUAACUGCAAAGCUUUACACCCAACAUGGGUUUCAAACCCAUGGUUUAUCUGGUCUUCCCAUAAAGACUGUUAGACAGCUUCAGCUCAGUCAGACCUUGCUGCCAGUCUUAACCAGAACCAGGAGAACUGAGCACAUCAUUCCUGUUCUUAAAUCCUUACACUGGCUACCAUUUACCUACAGAAUUGAUUUUAAAGUGUUUCUGUUAGUUUAAAAGUCAUUCAGUGGUAUGGGGCCAAAGUACAUUUCUAAUCUCCUUGAAGAAUCCAAACCCAGCAGGGCUUUGAGAUCUUUAGGAGGCAGUCUGCUGGUAGAUUGGGUCAGAACCAAACAGGGUGAAGCAGCUUUUAGCUUCUAUGCUAUACACAGACAUAACAAGCUUAUCUUCACUUUGUCUCCACUGAUUCUAUUCUGGUUUUAGUGCUUUUUGUUUUUAAUGCUAUUG